UACGUAGGUGGCAAGCGUUGUCCGGAUUUAUUGGGUUUAAAGGGUGCGUAGGCGGUCUUAUAAGUCAGUGCUGAAAUAUCCCGGCUUAACCGGGAGGGUGGCAUUGAUACUGUAGGACUUGAGUAGAGUCGAGGUAGGCGGAAUUGACGGUGUAGCGGUGAAAUGCUUAGAUAUCGUCAAGAACACCGAUAGUGUAGACAGUUUACUAGGCUCAAACUGACGCUGAGGCACGAAAGUGUGGGGAUCAAACAGG
rnacentral:rRNA from 1 species